GAUGAACGCUGGCGGCGUGCUUAACACAUGCAAGUCGAACGGAAAGGCCCAAGCUUGCUUGGGUACUCGAGUGGCGAACGGGUGAGUAACACGUGGGUGAUCUGCCCUGCACUUCGGGAUAAGCCUGGGAAACUGGGUCUAAUACCGGAUAGGACCACUUCUUGGAUGUUGUGGUGGAAAGGUUUUUCGGUGUGGGAUGAGCUCGCGGCCUAUCAGCUUGUUGGUGGGGUGAUGGCCUACCAAGGCGUCGACGGGUAGCCGGCCUGAGAGGGUGUACGGCCGCAUUGGGACUGAGAUACGGCCGAGACUCCUACGGGAGGCAGCAGUGGGGAAUAUUGAACAAUGGGCGCCAGCCGGAUGCAGCGACGCCGCGUGGGGGAUGACGGCCUUCGGGUUGUAAACUCCUUUCGCUAGGGACGAAGCGUUUUGUGACGGUACCUGGAGAAGAAGCACCGGCUAACUACGUG
rnacentral:rRNA from 1 species